ACGCGCGUGUCCCAGACCUCGGCCGGCCUCGCGGCCUUCACUGGGCCACUCACUUAAAGCUCCUGCUUCAUUCGUCUGCCAACCUUGGUUCUUCAAGUCAACUCUGUAGCCAAUUAGCUGUGGCGUAAGGCCAAUGUGCUCUGAGCCUCAGUUUCCCCAUCUGUAACCUGAGGAAGGCCGGAGCCCAGGCGGUUCCCAGCCCUGCCGGCCCAUCAGGAUCACCUGGGCAGCUUCCUGAAGUCAGACGCUGCUGCACCCAAGAGUCCAUACUUUCAGUUCCAGGUCGGCAUUUAACCACUGACCCACACCGGCCAGGCCAGGUCUGUCUCUUUGGAACAAGGAGAUGAGAAGCAGAAGAGGGGAGGCGACCUGAGGCUGGACAGAGGGCUGGCAUCCUGCACCGGAACCGCAGGAAGACGGGGGCCACACCUGCCGGCUCCACCUAGUCCAAGCUCAGCACCUCCACUUGGCCCAGAACAGCUGCCUGGCCUGGAUGGGCCCACCAGCCUCCCCUCUGCUCCCCGGAGCCUCCGGGACCCCAGAGCCCCGGCUGAACUGGCCGAGAAGGAACUUUCCACACUGAGGUUUCCGUGACCGGAAAAGGCAAGUUCAAUAACGCGAUCAACACCGCCGGCUGACCAGACCCAGAGAGCGGCUGUCUCACGGAAACCAUAACGGAGAUGACGGAUGCCUUGCUCCUAUCGGGCUGGCAUGCUUUAUGUGCGAGCGCACUUAUGACAACAGAAUGUAUAUAAAAGCGCUCAGUGACUGCUUCUUGGAAGGAAUAAAAUAACUUGGAGGGACUCGUAUGCCAAGGAGUCGGAAGAUGAAUGCCCGCCUGUAAGCGUGGCCUUGCUUCAUAUUUCACAGCGCGGCGGUUCCGCGGCCGGGCAGGUGAGCACGCAGACCGGGACUGUGUGUGUGGAGAACACUCAGUGAUGCAUCUGGAGUGUCCACUUCAUCCUGUGACCACAUUCAUCCUUGAGUGAAGAGGACGAGCAUCACAGUUUUCACCCUUCAACUAUCCUUCUGGGGGAUGCAGUUUUAGGACUAAUCCUAUAUAAUAAAAGCCUAAGUGACCCUUUUGAUGGAA